ACCUCGGUGGUGUAGUAGUAGCAAGCAUCCCCGGUAUGGAUGAAACACGGGUUCGACUCCCGUCUGGGAGU